GUAGUUUCCGGGGUUGGGUACCGAAACCCGGUGCUAAUAUGGCACCGGUGCCUAAACGACCGGUAUCUACCGCACCAAUUUGCAACGCA